rnacentral:rRNA from 1 species
UACGGAGGGUGCGAGCGUUGUCCGGAUUUAUUGGGUUUAAAGGGUGCGUAGGCGGUAUAAUAUGUCAGUGGUGAAAGUCCUGGGCUCAACCGAGGGAUUGCCAUUGAAACUGUUAUACUUGAGUACAGUAGAGGUAUGCGGAAUUUAUGGUGUAGCGGUGAAAUGCAUAGAUACCAUAAAGAACACCGAUAGCGAAGGCAGCAUGCUAUGCUGCUACUGACGCUGAGGCACGAAAGCGUGGGGAGCGAACAGG